GUAGUUAGCCGUGGCUUCCUCCUUAGGUACCGUCAUUAUCGUCCCUAAAGACAGAGCUUUACAAUCCGAAGACCGUCAUCACUCACGCGGCGUUGCUGGGUCAGGCUUGCGCCCAUUGCCCAAUAUUCCCCACUGCUGCCUCCCGUAGGAGUCUGGACCGUGUCUCAGUUCCAGUGUGGCCGAUCAGCCUCUCAGCUCGGCUACCCAUCGUCGGCUUGGUGGGCUGUUAUCUCACCAACUACCUAAUGGGACGCGAACCCCUCUAAAAGCGAUAAAUCUUUGACCUCUUCCCGAUGCCGGGUUGUGGUCUUAUGCGGUAUUAGCAGUUGUUUCCACCUGUUAUUCCCCACUCUUAGGCAGGUUGUUCACGCGUUACUCACCCGUGCGCCACUAGAAUUAUCAAUUCCAUCCGAAAACUUCCUUAAUAAUCCCCGUUCGACUUGCAUGUGUUAGGCACGCCGCCAGCGUUCGUCCUGAGCCAGAAUCAAACUCUGA
rnacentral:rRNA from 1 species